UUGACCUCGGAUCAGGUAGGGAUACCCGCUGAACUUAAGCAUAUCAAUAAGCGGAGGAAAAGAAACCAACUGGGAUUGCCUUAGUAACGGCGAGUGAAGCGGCAAUAGCUCAAAUUUGAAAGCUGGCGCCUUCGGCGCCCGCGUUGUAAUUUGCAGAGGAUGCUUCGGCGAGGACUCCUGCCUAAGUUCCCUGGAAUGGGACGUCGCAGAGGGUGAGAAUCCCGUAUGUGGCGGGCGGUCCGAGCCAUGUGAAGCUCCUUCGACGAGUCGAGUUGUUUGGGAAUGCAGCUCUAAAUGGGAGGUAAAUUUCUUCUAAAGCUAAAUACCGGCCAGAGACCGAUAGCGCACAAGUAGAGUGAUCGAAAGAUGAAAAGCACUUUGGAAAGAGAGUUAAAAAGUACGUGAAAUUGUUGAAAGGGAAGCGCUUGCAACCAGACUCGCCCGCGGCAGCUCUGCCCGCCUCCUGGCGGGCGUACUCUGCCGCGGUCGGGCCAGCAUCAGUUCGGGCGGCCGGAUAAAGGCGACGGGAAUGUAGCACCCCUCGGGGUGUGUUAUAGCCCGCUGCGGAAUGCGGCCAGCCUGGACUGAGGAUCUCGCUUCGGCAAGGAUGCUGGCGUAAUGGUUGUAAGCGGCCCGUCU
rnacentral:rRNA from 1 species